rnacentral:rRNA from 1 species
UACGAAGGGGGCUAGCGUUGCUCGGAAUGACUGGGCGUAAAGCGCACGUAGGCGGACUCUUAAGUCGGUGGUGAAAUCCUGGAGCUCAACUCCAGAACUGCCUUCGAUACUGAGAGUCUCGAGUCCGAGAGAGGUGAGUGGAACUGCGAGUGUAGAGGUGAAAUUCGUAGAUAUUCGCAAGAACACCAGUGGCGAAGGCGGCUCACUGGCUCGGUACUGACGCUGAGGUGCGAAAGCGUGGGGAGCAAACAGG